CCUACGGGAGGCUGCAGUGAGGAAUAUUGGUCAAUGGUCGGGAGACUGAACCAGCCAAGCCGCGUGAGGGAUGAAGGUACAGCGUAUCGUAAACCUCUUUUGUCAGGGAACAAAGGCGGGGACGUGUCCCCGUAUGCGUGUACCUUAUGAAAAAGCAUCGGCUAACUCCGUGCCAGCAGCCGCGGUAAUCCGGAGGAUGCGAGCGUUAUCCGGAUUUAUUGGGUUUAAAGGGUGCGCAGGCGGUCUGUUAAGUCAGUGGUAAAAGCCCGGGGCUCAACCCCGACCUGCCGUUGAAACUGGCAGUCUCGAGUUGGAGAGAAGUAGGCGGAAUGCGCGGUGUAGCGGUGAAAUGCAUAGAUAUCGCGCAGAACUCCGAUUGCGAAGGCAGCAUGCCGGCUCCACACUGACGCUGAGGCACGAAAGCGUGGGUAUCGAACAGGAUUAGAUACCCUUGUAGUC
rnacentral:rRNA from 1 species